ensembl:lncRNA
AGGGGAUUUCCAGGACUUUGCUUUUUUUCCCACUUUUCUCAAAUAAAGGACCUUCACAGUUGUCAGAGCUCUCUUUUACUCCUGAUAGCCACAUCUGAAAACUAAAAAUCUUCGCCUGCAUGAAGGAGCAGUGUAAAGUAGACCGACUCAUGCAAUAUUCAACACUUUCCCCCCUCGUUUCAGAAUCCAUCUGCCUCACUGCUCAGUUCAUCUGUGGGUCACAAGCAGGACGUGUAAAACUCACACAGGAACCGCUCGCACCAGCAGACCGCGCCUUCGGUCACGUGAACGAGCGAUUUAAGAGAAUUUGUGACCUCUCACUCCUCCUGCUUUAUGACUCGCACUGUACGAGAAGUCAAUAUCUGAGUCAGCGAGACUCGGCCUCUCUCCGCAGAGGGGAGAAACACUCGUUUGAUUCAAAUGUCUCGGAACAGAAAAUAAUCAAAUGUAAAAGUACCACGGUGACUGAUAACAGCCAAAACAAAGAAUAAAAAGAGGUGUAAAAUAACUACAAAAAAAAGUCCACAAAGAUGUAAAAUGUUCAAAAGCAGAGACAUCAAAGAAGUGAAAGGACAUGUAAAAAAAACUAAACCAAGACUAAAAUUCACGAAAAUGACUACAGAGAGAUGUUAAAUGACAACGCAGAUGAGGAGUAAAACAAUUCAGAGAUACAAAAGAAAAAGAGCCAGAAGACAACCACGAAGAAAAAGAAAAUAGCCAAAAAAAUAGCCUUGGAUGACUGAGGAGUGAUGCGAAAUAAUCCACAAAGACAGCUGCAAAAUGAGGGAAAACAACUGCAAAAGACAAAGAAAGUCUGAAAAGAGACAAUAAACAAAAAACAACUAUCAGAAAUUAACUACAGUUUUUUUUAAAAAUUGAAGCGAGAAGGAUAAAACAACCAGAAAGAAACAGAAAACUACAAAAAUAAAACUACAAAAUGACAAACACAGAGAUGCAAAGAAUGACUGACAUGACAUAAAGCUAAAAAUACUGCAAAGACACAUAAAAACCACUGGGAAGGAAAACAAGCACAGGCAUAAAACAACUAAAAUAAGAUAUGAAAUGACAUAAGAGAAAAAAAUGAUCUCAGUGAGAUUUAAAAUUACAAAAAAAGACAUCGAACCACAAAAACACAGAUGACAAACAGCUGGAGAAAAACAUAAAUGAACCAGAAGCAGACAUAAAGAAUCCACAGAGAGAAGUCAAAUCACUGAGAUGAGGUUUAAGAAGAAUCUCAGAGACAUAAAAUAGCUGGAAAUGAAAGAGACAAUAAUAAAUCACUGCACAGAGAAGACAAAAUGACUCUAAAGAGAUAUUAAAUGACACUGAAGAUGCUGAAAUCACCACAAAAAUGUAAGAUAAACAAUUUAGACAUAAAAUGAUGACAAAAAAGAUGUAAAAACACCCCAAAAUUGACAUAUGAUGGUCAUAAUGAGAGGUGUAGUGUCUGUGAAGAUGUGCACUCUCCUGAAGAGACACAAAUAAAAACAAGCAAAGAAAGGAGUGAAGUGGAGCAAUAGAUGACGAGAUGUUUUAAGGGAAGUAAAACGACUACAAGGAGAUGCAAAAUGAUGCGGCAGGGAUAAAAGAAUUAAAAGAGAUAUAAAACUACCAAAACAGACAUGAACAGAGAUUCAAAUGAAAACAUCCCAAUCUGAAACAGUUGUAGACACAUCAAAUGGAGCAAACCAACUGCAAAGACGACAAAAAAAGACCCAAGCAGAUGCAGAAAUGACUAAAAAGAGAUUAAAAGAUCCACAAAGCUGUAUGAUGAGCAAAUGACAGCAAACUGACAUAAACUAAUGAAGGGAGACACAAAACAAUAAAAAAUUAACAUAAAAUAAUCACAAAAACAUUUAAAAUUACUGAGAUGAAGGAUAAAAUCAUUCCAAACACACAAAAAUGAUUACAAAGAUAAAAUCAACAGCAAAAAGCCAGAAAACAAAAUCUAAAAAAAGAGCAAUAAAUGACAAAAAGAUGCAAAGUGACCACAGUGAAGCACCUGAAAGAAGACCUGAAACAAGAAGUUAUAAAACUAGCUGGAAAAAGUUUUUUUUAGUCCCUCAAAACCCACCUGCUCAACAUAGCCUACUCUAUAUAACUUCUCCAUGCUCUUAAACUUUCUUCUAUUAUUGUGUUUAUUUCCUGUUUUUAUGCCUGGAGUAUUUGCUCUGUACAGUGUCCUUGGGUGUUUUGAAAGCCACUUUUUAAUAAAAUUUAUUAUUGAAAACGUCAACUUCAACAACUAAAUGAGGGGAAAGAAAAGAGAUUAAAACGAGUGAAAGCAGACAUAAAACUAAAAAACUAAAAAAAAGAUGUAGUAAUGAAAAAAUGAAAAACAUUUCUUGCUCCUGAGACGUACCUCUCAACAUUUAGGUUCCAAAAGCACAUGCAUACAUGUGUCUGUCGACCUCAUCGUCUAAUAACACGUCCCUUGAACUCACCGUACUCUAUAAAAGGUGGGCGUAUUUUUUCAUCUCAAAGAGCUAGUAGUAGAAAACUUGGUCUACUUUGACAUGGAACGCAUUCUGGAGCUUCAGUUGAUCCAUCUACCAUUCACUGAACCCUCGUCAGAAAUGGUCCCAGUGGAAGAAUGGCCACCAAGAAGCCAUUACUGAGAAAGGGAGACAGGGCUGAGAUAUGAGCCACAUCACAUAAUAACUGGACUGAAAAUCAGUGAAAACCGG